AGUCGGCCGCGGGAGGAGGACUUCUGGCCAGCGUCACCGGCCUCUGGUGUCGGUUCGUCGGCACCUGCGACUGAGCGCCGCUGGAACUGCAGCGAGCCUGGACGAGCGCAGCGGUCGGCAUCGGGGGUCUACCGAGCUCUACCGACCUCGGAGGUCUACUGAACGUCUACCGACAUCGGAGGACUACCGACCGUCGGCAGCCGCGACUUCCAGCACCCACUGCCCGUGUCGAUUGCUCAUCAUUCCGGCUGACAGUUGUCACACUGCCUGCCAAACCAGCUGACAGCAGUCACACUGCCUGCUGGACCGGCUGAUGGCAGUCAUACUGCCCGCUAUGUUAGCUGACAGCUGUCACACUGCCUGCUGGACCGGCUGAUAGCAGUCAUACUGCCCGCCAGAUCAUCUGAAAGCAGUCACACUGCCCGCUGUGUUAGCUGACGGCAGUCAUACUGCCAGCUGAGCCCGUGGGUGGUGUGAAUAGGCGUGGGAGCCUGUGUCACAGGGACGCGUAGGGAAGAGACUAUCAAUUAGCAAUCAUCACAUACCUCCAGUGCUGCAUAUCGGGAUGGACAGAGUUGACCGGGGUCUCAACUGGCCAACUGGCCAACUGGUCAACUCAACUGGUCAACUCUCAACUGUCGGGUGUGAACUGUGACAGUGCUCCGUUACCGGCUGCGACGCGUGGGGAGAGACGCGAACUGCCUGUACCGCGAGCCGGUGGUUUCCCAGUCUCCGGUGCAGCGGGGCUCGAGUGCGCGCCCGUCGGACCGCUCACGGGAGGCUCUAUUCCGGGCCGGCGCGAGCCCAGCUGAGCCUCUCUCCGGCUCCGGUCAGCUCCGGCCCGGACCGCGCCGAGCGGCUGGGGCUGCACUGGGAGCUGCGCCCGCCGAGCAGCGCUCUCUCGAGGGGCGAUCACAGGAGGCGGUCCGGGACCUCUGUCUCUACACUGCACACGACACGCGCCACGGUGAUCUCAGGAGGAAGGCGGCUACAAAGACAGCGCUGGGUGCACCACCGCGCGCGGCACGGCGUUCCGCUGCUGGGUGCGCUCUGGUGCCGUGAGUGUCCGUGAGAAAUGAGUUAUACGGUGGGGUAGGGUCGGGGAGAUGUCGGGGUUAUAAGCCCCAGCGUUGUUUGUUUAUGUGGGCGGCUGAUGCUAGUUUAUGUGGGCAGCUAAUGCGGGUGACGCGGGGCGUUAUUUCAAAGAAACCAGCAGCCGCAUGUUUGCCAUUUGGAAAUUAGAGAUUGAUUGGGCGAGUGUUUUACUUCGUUGAUGCUUUUGGCUUUUGCAUUUGCUGCGAAAGCGAAGUGUUCGUUAUUGGUUGUUGAUCGAUUAUAAUCAAACUCGAUGGUUUGAUACCACAGGAAAUGUAAACAAUGUUUCACAACGAAAACAGCUCUAACGCUGUGACCGUCACAACUUCAACGGAUUCGGGACUUAUUUCAACUGCGUACGUUCUUUGAAUUCAGAGACUGUGCAGACCGCGCUGCUGAAUGCCCUGACUGUUUAUCUGAACGGAUAGCAAUAGUACCUGUCCCUGUUCACACACCGUCAGUGACACUACCUGAAGGCCCGCCUUGGUCGGGUAGGUGCCGCUCCCAUAGCCGACUGUGCCGCUCAUAGCUCGUCACCUCUGCGCCACUCCAGGUGUCUCGAUCGGUCGUAGCCUCGCUGACCGCUGGUUACCGUACACAUGUGUAAUGCGCUCCAUGACAAUGUUCAUAGUCAUAGAAUGGCAGAUUCUUUGCUGGCGUUUUAAUGGCGUCGUGUUAUGAUGGAUGAUUAUUUGAAUUAUCAUUGACAUGUGUUGUGAGGUAAUAAAUGAUGAACAAGAUCGA